rnacentral:lncRNA from 10 species
AGACUCCGUCUCAAAAAACAAACAAAAACAAACAAACAAAACAUUUGCAUAUACUGAAGCAUAUCCCAAUUUUUAUUAUUUAUAUGUAAUGCAUACAAUUAUACACUGCUGAUAUAUAUAUAUCUUAUAAAACCUGCAAAAAUGGACAAUGCAAAGGACUUUUUUUGAGAUGGAGUCUGGCUGUCGCCCAGGCUGGAGUGCAGUGGCACUUUCUCAGCUCAUGGCGACCUCUGCCUCCCGCAUUCAAGGGAUUCUCCUGCCUCAGCUUCCCAAGUAGCUGUGACUAUAGGUGCGCACCACCACACUCCGCUAAUUUUUGUAUUUUUAGUGGAGAGGGGGUUUUGCCAUCUUGGCCAGCCUGGUCUUGAACUCUGACCUCAAGUGAUCCACCCUCCUCAACCUCCCAAAGUGCUGGGAUUACAGGCGUGAGCCACUGUGCCCAGCCCAAUGCAAAGGACUUAACAGACAUUUCUCCAAAGAAGAUAUACAAAUGGCCAGUAAGUGCAUGAAAAGAUGCUCAACAUCAUUAGCCAUCAGGGAAAUGAAAAUCAAAACCACAAUGUGAUUCACAUCCAAUAGGAUGGCUAAAUUUUUUUUAAAAUGGAAAAUAUUUAACAGUAACUAGUAUUGGUCAAUGUAUAGAGAAACUGGAACCCUAAAUCGUUGCUGGUAGAAUGUAAAAUGGUGUAGCCACUGUGGAAAACAGCAUGGAGGAUCCUAAGAAAUUAAACACAGAAGGCUGGGUACGAUGGCUCACAUCUGUAAUCCCAGCACUUCGAGAGGCUGAGGUGGGUAGAUCACUGAAGGCCAGGAGUUCGAGAUCAGCCUGGCCAACAUGACAAAACCCUGUCUCAUUUUUAUGUAAAAAAUUAAAAAAGAAAAGAAAGAUCAGAGGUUACCAGGGACUGGGGGAAGGGGGAAUAGGGAGCUACUGCUUAAUGAGUAUGGGGUUUCUAUUUGCAGUGACGACAAAUUUUGGAAAUAGUGGUGAUAGUUGUACAAUACCGUGAAUUAGUGCCACUGAAUUAUAUAUGCAAAAAAUGGGGCUGGGCGCAGUGGCUCACACCUGUAAUCUCAGCACUUUGGAAGGCUGAGGUGGGUGGAUCACCUGAGGUCUGGAGUUCGAGACCAGUCUGGCCAACAUGGUGAAACCCCAUCUCUACUAAAAAUACAAAAGAUUGGCCAGGCAUGGUGGUGGGUGCCUGUAAUCCCAGCUACUUGGGAGGCUGAGGCAGAAGAAUCGCUUGAACCCGGGAGGCAGAGGUUGCAGUGAGCUGAGAUUGUGCCACUGCACUCCAGCCUGGGCAACGAGAGCGAAACUCCGUCUCAAAAACAACAACCACCACCACCAAAAAAAACCAUGGUUACAACGGCAAAUGUUGUUAUAUAUAUUUCGCCACAAUAAAAUAGUUUUUUAGAAAGGACAAAGUAAAAAUACAAAUAGAGGUUAUAAUAUUUUCUUCUCACACUCCAGUGGGUCACCCUGCAUGCUAUGGGGCAAGGAGAUGAGAAGUUUCCAAAGCCAAACCCAAAAUUAAUGAAUCGGAUGUGGGGUAGAGGGAAUACUGCAGAAGAUAAAAAUGUCUGAGGCUUGGUAAUGCCUAAAACUGAAAAAGAAUCUUAUUUUUAGGUCUAAAGGAAGGAGGACGCUUUUCUGUAACCUUUCCGCAGAGCUAAAUACAGACCAUCUGGAAGGUCUCAGCAUCCCUCACACCACAGACCCAGAGACCUGAGCCACCUGAAUCGCUGCACAAACACCAGGAGAGCCCUCAGCACUCCUAGUCCCAAGCACUCGUUAUUAGCACACUUGCUCCCUCACUGCAAGGGCCCAGGUAGUGCCUUACAAAACAUACCGUGCGCUUUUUCAGUCGCUUUAUGGUCUCAGGUAAGACCCAAGUCCAACUUAAAAUACUCCUUUUCAAAGCUGUUUUCAAAGUCAUUUUCAUCACUUUUCCCUCCUCUGGCUCAAGAGCAUCAAUCAUGGUGAAAAGUGACAGGAAAUAAUAAAAAGAUUAACAGCUCAACAUCAAGAAGGACCUACACUGCCCGUGCUGAAAGUGUCAAAUAUGAGGCUGGCUGAGGACCAAGGUAAUCAAAAGUAGAAUAGACAUGAGUUUGAGGGCUACGCUGACAUUUCAGGAGGCAGAAAGUCCUGUUAAACACAGCCAUGACAAAGCAAAGGGCCGCCACUGUAGAACAAUGUAUUUCUGUACCAGCAUGCAAUACUUAAAUUUCCUGUUUGUGAUCACAGAAUUUCACUGUAAAAAUAGGCUUCCACAGAUUGAUAAAUAUUUUGAUUUUAAAUGAGAGCAUUUUUCAAUUAAAAUGUAAGAUCUCAGCUUUAUAAUAAAAGUUAAAAUUAAGAUAUGCUGGACUCUCAGAGCCAUCUCAACUUGUCUUUUCUAUAUAGAUUUGUGAUGCAGAAAUAUGAAUCAGCUGCCCCUUUCCUUCAGCAAUUCCACUGAAACUCGUGACUAUACUGCACUGGGAAGGACAAACAUAUUCUAGAACUGCAAUAUAAAAUAGUUGAUUCAUACCUUUCAAAUUGCUAGAGUGACUGUACCUUAUUUUUUAAACAACUUUUUUAAAAAAAUUGAGAUGUGGUCUCACUGUGUUGACCAGGCUGGUCUCGAACUCCUGGCCUCAAGUGAUCCUUCCAUUUCGGCCUCCAAAAGUGCUGGGAUUAUAGGCGUAAGCCUUCAUGCCCGGCCUUAUUAAAAAUAACUAUGACUUCCAAAUCAAGCCUUUAGAGAGAACUCUCAUUUGAAAUACCGUAUGUCUAUGCUAUUGUAGUACAAAGUAUUCACAUAUCUGUGUAAAGACUGCUUGUAAACAGAUUCCAGUAAGUUUUAUGGAAUGGAGUGGGAGGCAAGGUUGUGAAUAUGUAGGUAUCAUACAGCAUAAACAAUCUCCUGAGUUCUUAACAAAGCUCUAGAUUGCCUAUGCUGGGUAUGGUUCUACCAUUGAGAACUCUUCCACUAAUUCAGUCCUAUCACAAAAACUUGGUUUUUAAAAGAUGAGCCCUCCAAAUACAGAGAAAUGUGCAUCAUGAAUAUUCUUGUUUAAAAGUGUUCCAUUUUAGUUCCAACACUGAUAUUGCUUCAAAACUCUUCUCUCAAGGCCUUCCAGCAUGCUAUAUUUAAAAAGUUGCCAAACUGGUUUUAACACAUCUUUUCAAGACUGAUAAGCAAAAGUUUACUGAAGCAGUUUUGGAUAAGAGAAACUCAGAAUUAUUCUAUAAGUUUCCUCAAAUCUAGCAGCACUUUUUAAAUGGAGGGUUGCUAAAUAAGCUAUAAAUUCCCAAAGCCAUGAGACAUAUACAUAGGGAAGGCAUUUCUCCUUUGGUAAAACACAAACCAUACCUUCUUUGGAACUGUAGCUCACAUCCUGUUGGACUGACUGCCUUCAAACCUGUUUUGUAGGUAUUAUGAACAACUGAGUGCAAACAGUAAGUGGUUGUGAAAAUAAAUUUUCUAAUGUGAAAAAAAAAAAAAGAAUGAACUGUUAAUACAGUUUGGGUUGACUAAGAACUUCAGCAAAUGGCAAUAAUGUUUCCAAUCUUUCUUGUGAAUCUUAAGUAAGAUUUAUUCAACUUUCAAAAUUCUUUCAUUUAACGAUGUGGUCAUUUACCUGAUAACAGAUGUAAAGAUCCCUGCCCAUGUGGAUUUUUUUGGCCACUGAUAUCCAUAUUUUCGUAUAUAAUAAUAAGCUGUCUUUCACUAGGAAAACAAUGGCAAAUAUCACCUACUUUCAGUGUCUGUCAAGAGAAUAUUUUCAUACAGUAUAGAAAAACAAAGUGGAAACUCUAGGAAAUUGUGUAAAUUAAAAUCUGUAAAUUCACAGUUGACUGGAUGUCUCCUCUCAUUGUAUACUCACAGGUUCAAGAAAACUUGAACAUCUGUAUCAAGAUGCUAGCACUAGGCUGGACCUGGUGGCUCACACCUGUAAUCCCAGCACUUUGGGAGGCUGAGGCAGUUGAAUCCUUUGAGGUCAGGUGUCUGAGACCAGUUUGGCCAACAUGGUGAAACCCCAUCUC